CAAUCAAAAAGUAAAGGGAAACAUUUGCCACGAUGAAUUAACGUAAAUUGUCAAGUUAAUUCAUUGCCAUUCAAGAGAUUGCAGUCUCUUAAUGACCGUUUCCAAGAUCAAAAAUUUUAUUUGUCCUGGAUAGGAAGUUUGGAUAUCGUGUAUCUUCCAAAGGGAGGUGAUGAAAUCUGAAUGUCGAUGAAAGGAGAUAUCU
rnacentral:snoRNA from 1 species